rnacentral:lncRNA from 10 species
CCAGUGAUGAUGAGCAUUUUUUCAUGUGUUUUUUGGCUGCAUAAAUGUCUUUUUUUUUUUUUGAAAAAAAUGCAGUUUUAUUCUGUUUACAGAAGUAACAUUGUAAGCAUAUGUAUGAAUACAUAGUUAAAAAGUAUAAAGACAAAAAUAAGUCUACCAUAUAUUAACAAAAAGAAAAAUUAUAUGGUUAAAUUAAUAGUGAAAAAAGUAGAUCUUAAGUAGAAGUGCAAAAUAUAAAGAUGUACAUUUCAAAGUCAUAAAAGGGUUAAGUCCAUAGCAAGCUAUAAAAUCACAAAGUUUUCAAUACCUAAUUAGCACAAAAUUUAAUUGUAUAAAGCAAAAGUUGAAAGAACUAAAGGAGUCAUAUACAAAUCUACAAUCAUAGGCUAUGACCAAUUUCAAUAACUAAUAGAAAAAGCAUACAAAAGAAAAGGAUACAGAAGUUUAGAAUGACAUUAACCAAACUGACCUAAUUUGGCUUAUAGAACAUUAUAUCCAACAAUUGCAGAGCACUCUUUACCAUGUAUAUCAUAUAUAUAUAUGAGAAAUAUGAUACAUAUCUCUUACAUAUAUGAUAUAUAUAUCAUAUAUCUCUCACAUAUGUAAUAUGUGAUAUGAGAGAUAUGAUAUAUAUCUCUCACACAUAUAUAUAUAUGUGUUGACUUUUUUUUUUUUGAAUGUUAGUUGAUUUUAUUAUUUUUGCAGUGAUGAUCCUAAGGUAUAAGACAAGGUCUUUUUUUUUUUUUUUUAUACUUUAAGUUUUAGGGUACAUGUGCACAUUGUGCAGGUUAGUUACAUAUGUAUACAUGUGCCAUGCUGGUGCGCUGCACCCACUAAC